CAGUCGCCGCGGUAAUACGAAGGGGGCUAGCGUUGCUCGGGAUGACUGGGCGUAAAGGGCGCGUAGGCGGCUUGUACAGUCAGAUGUGAAAUUCCUGGGCUCAACCUGGGGACUGCAUUUGAUACGUACGGGCUUGAGUGGAGAAGAGGGUUGUGGAAUUUCCAGUGUAGAGGUGAAAUUCGUAGAUAUUGGAAAGAACACCGGUGGCGAAGGCGGCAACCUGGUCUUUAACUGACGCUGAGGCGCGAAAGCGUGGGGAGCAAACAGGAUUAGAUACCCCUGUAGUCCCUGUCUCUUAUAC
rnacentral:rRNA from 1 species